UACAGAGGGGGCAAGCGUUAUCCGGAAUUAUUGGGCGUAAAGGGCGCGCAGGCGGCCUGGCAAGUGGAAGGUGAAAUCCCUCGGCUUAACCGAGGAACUGCCUCCCAAACUGCGUGGCUUGAGACCAGGAGAGGUGAGUGGAAUUCCCAGUGUAGCGGUGAAAUGCGUAGAUAUUGGGAGGAACACCAGUGGCGAAGGCGGCUCACUGGACGGGUACUGACGCUGAGGCGCGAAAGCGUGGGGAGCAAACGGG
rnacentral:rRNA from 1 species